UACGAAGGGUCCCAAGCGUUAUCCGGAUUUAUUGGGUUAAGGGUGCGUAGGCGGCUAUUAAGUCAGUGGUGAAAUCUCCGAGCCUAACUCGGAAAUUGCCAUUGAUCACUGAUGGUCUUGAGUACAUUUGAAGUGGGCGGAAUGUGUCCAUGUAGCGGUGAAAUGCUUAGAUAGUGACACAGAACACCAGAUUGCGUGAGGCAGCUCACUAAACUGUAACUGACGCUGAGGCACGAAAGCGUGGGGAGCAAACAGG
rnacentral:rRNA from 1 species